rnacentral:rRNA from 1 species
UGGGGAAUAUUGCACAAUGGGCGCAAGCCUGAUGCAGCCAUGCCGCGUGUAUGAAGAAGGCCUUCGGGUUGUAAAGUACUUUCAGUCGGGAGGAAGGUGGUAAGGUUAAUAACCUUAUCAAUUGACGUUACCGACAGAAGAAGCACCGGCUAACUCCGUGCCAGCAGCCGCGGUAAUACGGAGGGUGCAAGCGUUAAUCGGAAUUACUGGGCGUAAAGCGCACGCAGGCGGUUGAUUGAGUCAGAUGUGAAAUCCCCGGGCUCAACCUGGGAACUGCAUUCGAAACGGGCAGGCUAGAGUCUUGUAGAGGGGGGUAGAAUUCCAGGUGUAGCGGUGAAAUGCGUAGAGAUCUGGAGGAAUACCGGUGGCGAAGGCGGCCCCCUGGACAAAGACUGACGCUCAGGUGCGAAAGCGUGGGGAGCAAACAGG